rnacentral:rRNA from 1 species
GCGGUGGAGCAUGUGGUUUAAUUCGACGCAACGCGAAGAACCUUACCAGGGCUUGACAUCCCCUGACCGCGUAUGAAAGUACGUUUUCACCCUCGGGUGACAGGGAGACAGGUGGUGCAUGGUUGUCGUCAGCUCGUGUCGUGAGAUGUUGGGUUAAGUCCCGCAACGAGCGCAACCCCUACGUUUAGUUGCUAACGCGUGAAGGCGAGCACUCUAGACGAACUGCCGUUGACAAAACGGAGGAAGGUGGGAUGACGUCAAAUCAUCAUGCCCCUUAUGUUCUGGGCUACACACGUGCUACAAUGGCCGGUACAGACGGACGCAAAGCCGCGAGGUGGAGCAAAUCCUAAAAAGCCGGUCUCAGUUCGGAUUGCAGGCUGCAAUUCGCCUGCACGAAGUCGGAAUCGCUAGUAAUCGCAGGUCAGCAUACUGCGGUCGAAUACGUUCCCGGGCCUU